ACGGAGGAUCCGAGCGUUAUCCGGAUUUAUUGGGUUUAAAGGGUGCGUAGGCGGCCCCUUAAGUCAGCGGUGAAAGUCUGUGGCUCAACCAUAGAAUUGCCGUUGAAACUGGGAGGCUUGAGUAUGUUUGAGGCAGGCGGAAUGCGUGGUGUAGCGGUGAAAUGCAUAGAUAUCACGCAGAACCCCGAUUGCGAAGGCAGCCUGCCAAGCCAUUACUGACGCUGAUGCACGAAAGCGUGGGGAUCAAACAG
rnacentral:rRNA from 1 species